UUUCAUGGUGGGAGCACGAAUACAGCCGUGCUCGCCGCCUUCGCAAGGAGGGGGUAGAUCGACGCGUCAAGAAAUCGUUUCAGUUGCCAUGGGUCCAGUAGGCAAUGUGAUUGUUGCUUGACCACAG